CCUACGGGAGGCAGCAGUAAGGAAUAUUGGGCAAUGGGCGGGAGCCUGACCCAGCCAUGCCGCGUGCAGGAAGACGGCCCUAUGGGUUGUAAACUGCUUUUGUUUGGGACUAACAGCCGGGUCGUGACCCGGCCUGCAGUACCGAAUGAAUA
rnacentral:rRNA from 1 species